UUAGUGGCGGACGGGUGAGUAACGCGUGGGUAACCUGCCUUGUACUGGGGGACAACAGUUGGAAACGACUGCUAAUACCGCAUAAGCGCACAGCUUCGCAUGAAGCAGUGUGAAAAACUCCGGUGGUACAAGAUGGACCCGCGUCUGAUUAGCUGGUUGGUGAGGUAACGGCCCACCAAGGCGACGAUCAGUAGCCGGCCUGAGAGGGUGAACGGCCACAUUGGGACUGAGACACGGCCCAAACUCCUACGGGAGGCAGCAGUGGGGAAUAUUGCACAAUGGGGGAAACCCUGAUGCAGCAACGCCGCGUGAGUGAAGAAGUAUUUCGGUAUGUAAAGCUCUAUCAGCAGGAAAGAAAAUGACGGUACCUGACUAAGAAGCCCCGGCUAACUACGUGCCAGCAGCCGCGGUAAUACGUAGGGGGCAAGCGUUAUCCGGAUUUACUGGGUGUAAAGGGAGCGUAGACGGUUUUGCAAGUCUGAAGUGAAAGCCCGGGGCUUAACCCCGGGACUGCUUUGGAAACUGUAGAACUAGAGUGCAGGAGAGGUAAGUGGAAUUCCUAGUGUAGCGGUGAAAUGCGUAGAUAUUAGGAGGAAC
rnacentral:rRNA from 1 species